UACGUAGAGAGCAAGCGUUAUCCGGAUUUAUUGGGUGUAAAGGGUGCGUAGAUGGGAAAAUAAGUUAGUUGUGAAAACCCUCGGCUCAACUGAGGACUUGCAACUAAAACUGUUUUUCUUGAGUGCAGGAGAGGAAAGUGGAAUUCCUAGUGUAGCGGUUAAAUGCGUAGAUAUUAGGAAGAAUACCAGUGGCGAAGGCGACUUUCUGGACUGUAACUGACAUUGAGGCACGAAAGUGUGGGUAG
rnacentral:rRNA from 1 species